GAUCAUGGCUCAGAUUGAACGCUGGCGGAAUGCUUUACACAUGCAAGGUCGAACGGUAGAGGGGGCAACCCCUUGAGAGUGGCGAACGGGUGAGUAAUACAUCGGAACGUGCCCGAUCGUGGGGGAUAACGGAGCGAAAGCUUUGCUAAUACCGCAUACGAUCUACGGAUGAAAGCAGGGGGACCGCAAGGCCUUGCGCGGACGGAGCGGCCGAUGGCAGAUUAGGUAGUUGGUGAGGUAAAGGCUCACCAAGCCGACGAUCUGUAGCUGGUCUGAGAGGACGACCAGCCACACUGGGACUGAGACACGGCCCAGACUCCUACGGGAGGCAGCAGUGGGAAUUUGGACAAUGGGCGCAAGCCUGAUCCAGCAAUGCCGCGUGCAGGAUGAAGGCCUUCGGGUUGUAAACUGCUUUGUACGGAACGAAACGGUGAGCUCUAAUACAGUUUGCUAAUGACGGUACCGUAAGAAUAAGCACCGGCUAACUACGUG
rnacentral:rRNA from 1 species